rnacentral:rRNA from 1 species
AGCGGGAAGUAGUUUACUACUUUGCCGGCGAGCGGCGGACGGGUGAGUAAUGUCUGGGAAACUGCCUGAUGGAGGGGGAUAACUACUGGAAACGGUAGCUAAUACCGCAUAACGUCUUCGGACCAAAGUGGGGGACCUUCGGGCCUCACGCCAUCGGAUGUGCCCAGAUGGGAUUAGCUAGUAGGUGGGGUAAUGGCUCACCUAGGCGACGAUCCCUAGCUGGUCUGAGAGGAUGACCAGCCACACUGGAACUGAGACACGGUCCAGACUCCUACGGGAGGCAGCAGUGGGGAAUAUUGCACAAUGGGCGCAAGCCUGAUGCAGCCAUGCCGCGUGUGUGAAGAAGGCCUUCGGGUUGUAAAGCACUUUCAGCGAGGAGGAAGGCCAAUAACUUAAUACGUUGUUGGAUUGACGUUACUCGCAGAAGAAGCACCGGCUAACUCCGUGCCAGCAGCCGCGGUAAUACGGAGGGUGCAAGCGUUAAUCGGAAUUACUGGGCGUAAAGCGCACGCAGGCGGUUUGUUAAGUCAGAUGUGAAAUCCCCGCGCUUAACGUGGGAAUUGCAUUUGAAACUGGCAAGCUAGAGUCUUGUAGAGGGGGGUAGAAUUCCAGGUGUAGCGGUGAAAUGCGUAGAGAUCUGGAGGAAUACCGGUGGCGAAGGCGGCCCCCUGGACAAAGACUGACGCUCAGGUGCGAAAGCGUGGGGAGCAAACA